rnacentral:rRNA from 1 species
UUAAAAAGCUCGUAGUUGAACCUUGGGCCUGGCUGGCCGGUCCGCCUCACCGCGUGCACUGGUUCGGCCGGGCCUUUCCCUCUGGGGAACCCUAUGGUCUUCACUGAUCGUAGCGGGGAACCAGGACUUUUACUGUGAAAAAAUUAGAGUGUUCAAAGCAGGCCUAUGCUCGAAUACAUUAGCAUGGAAUAAUAAAAUAGGACGUGUGGUUCUAUUUUGUUGGUUUCUAGGACCGCCGUAAUGAUUAAUAGGGACAGUCGGGGG